AGCGAACGCUGGCGGCAGGCUUAACACAUGCAAGUCGAGCGGGCCCUUCGGGGUCAGCGGCAGACGUGUGAGUAACACGUGGGAACGUACCCUUUGGUUCGGAAUAACGCUGGGAAACUAGCGCUAAUACCGGAUACGCCCUUUUGGGGAAAGGCUUGCUGCCGAAGGAUCGGCCCGCGUCUGAUUAGCGAGUUGGUGGGGUAAUGGCCUACCAAGGCGACGAUCAGUAGCUGGUCGGAGAGGAUGAUCAGCCACACUGGGACUGAGACACGGACCAGACUCCUACGGGAGGCAGCAGUGGGGAAUAUUGGACAAGGGGCGCAAGCCUGAUCCAGCCAUGCCGCGGGAGUGAGGAAGGCCUUAGGGUUGUAAAGCUCUUUUGUCCGGGACGAUAAUGACGGUACCGGAAGAAUAAGCCCCGGCUAACUUCGUG
rnacentral:rRNA from 1 species